CGGUGAUAGUCCCGUACACCAAAAUGCACAGGCUGUGAACUCGAAGAGUAGGGCGGGACACGUGGUAUCCUGUCUGAAUAUGGGGGGACCAUCCUCCAAGGCUAAAUACUCCUGACUGACCGAUAGUGAACCAGUACCGUGAGGGAAAGGCGAAAAGAACCCCGGCGAGGGGAGUGAAAAAGAACCUGAAACCGUGUACGUACAAGCAGUGGGAGCACCUUCGGGUGUGACUGCGUACCUUUUGUAUAAUGGGUCAGCGACUUAUAUUCUGUAGCAAGGUUAACCGUAUAGGGGAGCCGCAGGGAAACCGAGUCUUAACUGGGCGUUAAGUUGCAGGGUAUAGACCCGAAACCCGGUGAUCUAGCCAUGGGCAGGUUGAAGGUUGGGUAACACUAACUGGAGGACCGAACCGACUAAUGUUGAAAAAUUAGCGGAUGACUUGUGGCUGGGGGUGAAAGGCCAAUCAAACCGGGAGAUAGCUGGUUCUCCCCGAAAGCUAUUUAGGUAGCGCCUCGUGAACUCAUCUUCGGGGGUAGAGCACUGUUUCGGCUAGGGGGUCAUCCCGACUUACCAACCCGAUGCAAACUACGAAUACCGAAGAAUGUUAUCACGGGAGACACACGGCGGGUGCUAACGUCCGUCGUGAAGAGGGAAACAACCCAGACCGCCAGCUAAGGUCCCAAAGUCAUGGUUAAGUGGGAAACGAUGUGGGAAGGCACAGACAGCCAGGAUGUUGGCUUAGAAGCAGCCAUCAUUUAAAGAAAGCGUAAUAGCUCACUGGUCGAGUCGGCCUGCGCGGAAGAUGUAACGGGGCUAAACCAUGCACCGAAGCUGCGGCAGCGACACUAUGUGUUGUUGGGUAGGGGAGCGUUCUGUAAGCCUGCGAAGGUGUGCUGUGAGGCAUGCUGGAGGUAUCAGAAGUGCGAAUGCUGACAUAAGUAACGAUAAAGCGGGUGAAAAGCCCGCUCGCCGGAAGACCAAGGGUUCCUGUCCAACGUUAAUCGGGGCAGGGUGAGUCGACCCCUAAGGCGAGGCCGAAAGGCGUAGUCGAUGGGAAACAGGUUAAUAUUCCUGUACUUGGUGUUACUGCGAAGGGGGGACGGAGAAGGCUAUGUUAGCCGGGCGACGGUUGUCCCGGUUUAAGCAUGUAGGCUGGUUAUCCAGGCAAAUCCGGAUAAUCAAGGCUGAGGUGUGAUGACGAGGCACUACGGUGCUGAAGUAACAAAUGCCCUGCUUCCAGGAAAAGCCUCUAAGCAUCAGGUAACAUCAAAUCGUACCCCAAACCGACACAGGUGGUCAGGUAGAGAAUACCAAGGCGCUUGAGAGAACUCGGGUGAAGGAACUAGGCAAAAUGGUGCCGUAACUUCGGGAGAAGGCACGCUGGUGUGUAGGUGAAGUCCCUGCGGAUGGAGCUGAGACCAGUCGAAGAUACCAGCUGGCUGCAACUGUUUAUUAAAAACACAGCACUGUGCAAACACGAAAGUGGACGUAUACGGUGUGACGCCUGCCCGGUGCCGGAAGGUUAAUUGAUGGGGUUAUCCGUAAGGAGAAGCUCUUGAUCGAAGCCCCGGUAAACGGCGGCCGUAACUAUAACGGUCCUAAGGUAGCGAAAUUCCUUGUCGGGUAAGUUCCGACCUGCACGAAUGGCGUAAUGAUGGCCAGGCUGUCUCCACCCGAGACUCAGUGAAAUUGAACUCGCUGUGAAGAUGCAGUGUACCCGCGGCAAGACGGAAAGACCCCGUGAACCUUUACUAUAGCUUGACACUGAACAUUGAGCCUUGAUGUGUAGGAUAGGUGGGAGGCUUUGAAGCGUGGACGCCAGUCUGCGUGGAGCCAACCUUGAAAUACCACCCUUUAAUGUUUGAUGUUCUAACGUUGGCCCCUGACCGGGGUUGCGGACAGUGUCUGGUGGGUAGUUUGACUGGGGCGGUCUCCUCCCAAAGCGUAACGGAGGAGCACGAAGGUUAGCUAAUCCUGGUCGGACAUCAGGAGGUUAGUGCAAUGGCAUAAGCUAGCUUGACUGCGAGCGUGACGGCGCGAGCAGGUGCGAAAGCAGGUCAUAGUGAUCCGGUGGUUCUGAAUGGAAGGGCCAUCGCUCAACGGAUAAAAGGUACUCCGGGGAUAACAGGCUGAUACCGCCCAAGAGUUCAUAUCGACGGCGGUGUUUGGCACCUCGAUGUCGGCUCAUCACAUCCUGGGGCUGAAGUAGGUCCCAAGGGUAUGGCUGUUCGCCAUUUAAAGUGGUACGCGAGCUGGGUUUAGAACGUCGUGAGACAGUUCGGUCCCUAUCUGCCGUGGGCGCUGGAGAAUUGAGGGGGGCUGCUCCUAGUACGAGAGGACCGGAGUGGACGCAUCACUGGUGUUCGGGUUGUCAUGCCAAUGGCACUGCCCGGUAGCUAAAUGCGGAAGAGAUAAGUGCUGAAAGCAUCUAAGCACGAAACUUGCCCCGAGAUGAGUUCUCCCUGAGACUUUAAGUCUCCUGAAGGAACGUUGAAGACGACGACGUUGAUAGGCCGGGUGUGUAAGCGCAGCGAUGCGUUGAGCUAACCGGUACUAAUGAACCGUGAGGCUUAACCUUACAACGCCGAAG
rnacentral:rRNA from 1 species